GGGAAUCUACCUUGAGCUACGGGAUAACAGAGAGAAAUUUCUGCUAAUACCGUAUGUGGCCUUUGGGCGAAAGAUUUAUCGGCUUAAGAUGAGCCCGCGUUGGAUUAGCUGGUUGGUGGGGUAAAGGCCUACCAAGGCGACGAUCCAUAGCUGGUCUGAGAGGAUGAUCAGCCACACUGGGACUGAGACACGGCCCANACUCCUAC
rnacentral:rRNA from 1 species